rnacentral:piRNA from 1 species
AUACUGACGCUUCUACUGCUUUUU